rnacentral:pre_miRNA from 1 species
CAUAUACUCCCUCCGUCCCAAAGUAAGUGUCGUUGAUCUAGUAUAAAAUUUGUGCUAAGUUGGUACAUAUUUUGCGACACUUAUUUUUGCGACACUUAUUUUGGGACGGAGGGAGUACUUA